GGAUGUUGGCUCAGAAGCAGCCACCAUUUAAAGAGUGCGUAAUAGCUCACUGGUCGAGAGACGCUGCGCCGAAAAUGUCCGGGGCUCAAGCACGGAACCGAAGCUAUGGCAUUGCGUAAGCAAUGGGUAGGGGAGCGUUCUUAUGGGGAAGAAGCAUUACCGUAAGGAGAUGUGGACACAUAAGAAGUGAGAAUGCCGGUAUGAGUAUCGAAAAGAAAGGUGAGAAUCCUUUCCACCGAAAGCCCGAGGGUUCCUGAGCAACGAUCGUCGUCUCAGGGUAAGUCGGGACCUAAGCCGAGGCACAGACGCAUAGGCGAUGGACAACAGGUUGAAAUUCCUGUACCGGAUGGAGUCAUUUGAGCAAUGGAGUGACGCAGGAGGGCACAUGAUCGCGCGACUGGAAGAGCGCGUCCAAGUGCGUAUGUUGAAUCGGAGGCAAAUCCCCGAUUCUGAAAGCAGAGACAUGAUGGGGAGUUAUAAGCGAUUAUGACGAACUCAUGGAUCCCACACUGCCAAGAAAAACUUCUAGCGAGACGAAAUCCGCCCGUACCGUAAACCGACACAGGUAGGCGGGGAGAGAAUCCUAAGGUGCGCGGGAAAACCCUCGUUAAGGAACUCGGCAAAUUGCAUCCGUAACUUCGGGAGAAGGAUGGCCCUGAGUAGGCGAAGUGCAGAAACGCACGGAACAGAAAAGGGUGGCAGAAAAGAGGCCCAAGCAACUGUUUACCAAAAACACAGGUGCCUGCGAAAGCGAAAGCUGAAGUAUAGGUGCUGACGCCUGCCCGGUGCUGGAAGGUUAAGGAGAGAGGUUAGCGCAAGCGAAGCUUUGAACUGAAGCCCCAGUGAACGGCGGCCGUAACUAUAACGGUCCUAAGGUAGCGAAAUUCCUUGUCGGGUAAGUUCCGACCCGCAUGAAAGGCGUAAUGAUUUGGGCGCUGUCUCAACGAGGGGCCCGGUGAAAUUGAAAUACCUGUGAAGAUGCAGGUUACCCGCGACUGGACAGAAAGACCCCAUGGAGCUUUACUGCAGCUUGAGAUUGAAUCCCGGUGGCAGACGCACAGGAUAGGUGGGAGGCUUUGAGAUAGUGACUUUGGUUGCUAUGGAGCCGACGUUGGGAUACCACCCUUCUGUUGCUGGGAUUCUAACGCGAAGAUUAACAACCUUGCGGACCAUCUCAGGUAGGCGGUUUGACUGGGGCGGUCGCCUCCGAAAGAGUAACGGAGGCGCCCAAAGGUUCCCUCAGGCCGGACAGAAACCGGCCGAAGAGUGCAAAGGCAGAAGGGAGCUUGACUGCGAGACAGACAAGUCGAGCAGAGACGAAAGUCGGGCUUAGUGAUCCGGUGGUACUGCGUGGAAAGGCCAUCGCUCAACGGAUAAAAGCUACCCUGGGGAUAACAGGCUAAUCUCUCCCAAGAGUUCAUAUCGACGGGGAGGUUUGGCACCUCGAUGUCGGCUCAUCACAUCCUGGAGCUGGAGUAGGUUCCAAGGGUUGGGCUGUUCGCCCAUUAAAGUGGUACGCGAGCUGGGUUCAAAACGUCGUGAGACAGUUUGGUUCAUAUCCAUCGCGGGCGCAAGAAGUUUGAGGGAGGCUGCUCCUAGUACGAGAGGACCGGAGUGGACGGAUCAACGGUGUACCAGUUGUCACGCCAGUGGCACGGCUGGAAAGCCGCAUCCGGAAAGGAUAAACGCUGAAAGCAUCUAAGCGUGAAGCCCGUCCCAAGAUGAGACUUCUCAUCAGCAAUGAGUAAGACCCCUUAAAGACGAUGAGGUUGAUAGGCUGUGAGUGGAAGAGCCGCGAGGCUUGGAGCGACGCAGUACUAAUAGGUCGAGGUCUUAACUUA
rnacentral:rRNA from 1 species